UCUGGAGGAAUACCGGUGGACGAAGGCGGCCCCUGGACAAAGACUGACGCUCAGGUGCGAAAGCGUGGGGAGCAAACAGGAUUAGAUACCUGGUAGUCACGCCGUAAACGAUGUCGACUUGGAGGUUGUGCCCUGAGGCGUGGCUUCCGGAGCUAACGCGUUAAGUCGACCGCUGGGGAGUACGGCCGCAAGGUUAAAACUCAAAUGAAUUGACGGGGGCCCGCACAAGCGGUGGAGCAUGUGGUUUAAUUCGAUGCAACGCGAAGAACCUUACCUACUCUUGACAUCCAGAGAACUUAGCAGAGAUGCUUUGGUGCCUUCGGGAACUCUGAGACAGGUGCUGCAUGGCUGUCGUCAGCUCGUGUUGUGAAAUGUUGGGUUAAGUCCCGCAACGAGCGCAACCCUUAUCCUUUGUUGCCAGCGAUUAGGUCGGGAACUCAAAGGAGACUGCCAGUGAUAAACUGGAGGAAGGUGGGGAUGACGUCAAGUCAUCAUGGCCCUUACGAGUAGGGCUACACACGUGCUACAAUGGCAUAUACAAAGAGAAGCGACCUCGCGAGAGCAAGCGGACCUCAUAAAGUAUGUCGUAGUCCGGAUUGGAGUCUGCAACUCGACUCCAUGAAGUCGGAAUCGCUAGUAAUCGUAGAUCAGAAUGCUACGGUGAAUACGUUCCCGGGCCUUGUACACUCCGCCUUCACACCAUGGGAGUGGGUUGCAAAAGAAGUAGGUAGCUA
rnacentral:rRNA from 1 species